GCUUGGCUGGCUCAACUGAUAGGGCAUGUGACUUUCGAUCUCAGGGUUAUGAGUUCAAGCCCCAUGUUGGGUG
rnacentral:tRNA from 1 species